ACACAACUGAGCUUACUAAUACCUUAACCAUUCAAGGUAACCCUACUCUAAACGAGGUCGUCGUGAUUUGAUACCUGUGCAAUUUUUAAUUUGAAAAUUCUGGAUUUGAAAAUAUUAUAUAACUACUUGUGUAUCUUAUUUUAAGGAAAUUCAUGUAUUCAAACAUAUUUUUUUCAGAUGGCGAACUGACUGAUAUCUUUUGAAUCAGGAGUAUUUAUAAUAGUGUUUUAAGGCGAUAUCAUAACUGUGCUUUUUAUUGACAACUAUAAUACUGGAUAUCAGUGUAAUUCUCUGUGGAUAAUUAUGAGAGUGUGUCAAUCUAUGAUGGAUUAAAACAGUUACUUAAACAGGGAUUAUGACGGCGAGAAAGGGAUUUUUAGCCCAACAGCAAAAUACAUUUCUUGAUACCAUAGCAACCAAG
rnacentral:lncRNA from 1 species